rnacentral:rRNA from 1 species
CAGCAGCCGCGGUAAUACGAAGGGUGCAAGCGUUGCUCGGAAUUACUGGGCGUAAAGCGUGCGUAGGUGGUGGUUUAAGUCCGUUGUGAAAGCCCUGGGCUCAACCUGGGAAUUGCAGUGGAUACUGGGUCACUAGAGUGUGGUAGAGGAUAGUGGAAUUUCCGGUGUAGCAGUGAAAUGCGUAGAGAUCGGAAGGAACAUCUGUGGCGAAGGCGACUAUCUGGGCCAACACUGACACUGAGGCACGAAAGCGUGGGGAGCAAACAGGAUUAGAUACCCCUGUAGUCCCUGUCUCUUAUAC